ACGGGUGAGUAACACGUGGGUAACCUGCCUUGAUGAUUGGGACAACCCCGGGAAACCGGGGCUAAUACCAAAUGUGCUCCUUCCCUCUGAGGGGAAGGUGGAGAGGAAGCUUCGGCCUCCGCAUCGAGAUGGGCCCGCGGCGCAUUAGCUUGUUGGUGGGGUAACGGCCUACCAAGGCGACGAUGCGUAGCUGGUCUGAGAGGACGAUCAGCCACACUGGGACUGAGACACGGCCCAGACUCCUACGGGAGGCAGCAGUGGGGAAUCUUGCACAAUGCACGAAAGUGUGAUGCAGCCACGCCGCGUGCGGGAAGACGGCCUUCGGGUUGUAAACCGCUUUCAGUUGGGACGAAGGUUCACGGGUUAAUAGCUCGUUGGACUGACGGUACCUUCACAAGAAGCCCCGGCUAACUACGUGCCAGCAGCCGCGGUAAUACGUAGGGGGCAAGCGUUGUCCGGAAUCAUUGGGCGUAAAGCGCGUGUAGGCGGCUCGAUAAGUCUGCUGUGAAAGUCCAGGGCCCAACCCUGGGAUGCCGGUGGAUACUGUCGAGCUCGAGUCCGGAAGAGGAGUGUGGAAUUCCUGGUG
rnacentral:rRNA from 1 species